CGCUGCCAGUACCAAACACUUUUUCGUGUACUAACAUCUGUACAACAGCUUCUUUCAAUUCUGCUUUAAGCAGACCUGCUGAUGCUUCAAAUGAAAAAUGUGCCGCAAUGGCAUACAAAUCUUUUUUCCUGCAGCGAUCAAUCUGAUCCACAGAAGGAUCACUAAGAAAUCCCUCAAGGUUAAACACACUCAUUUUUCCUCAAAUAGCCUUACCCAAAACUUUACCAACCUAACCAACACUACCAGCCUACUUGACGUGUGCACUGCACACCAACACUCAUCAAACCCGUUGCUUAAAAGGAUCAAGGAUCCCGGACGAGCCCCCAAUUUAUGUUACGCCCCCCCUGGUGGCUCGGAGUAGGACGCAACAUAAGGGCAACAGGUCUGGGCAAGUGAGGGUGCAGUCACACAAAAUCCAAGACAAAAGGUGUAUUCAAUAUAAAGUGUUUAUGUACAAAACAAGGCAACACAGGGAUCAACAAGGACUGUCAGUGGCACCAAAGAAAAGAACAUAACAAAACCCAACCCCCCAUUGACAGGUGCUUUGCACCGAAAAAGUACAGUGGGUGGUGCUCACUCUAACCUAGGGUAUUAACAACGGGUAAACCUAAAUUGUAUGAAAUAUGUAAACCCCAGGGUAUCUUACCUGUCCUUAUUGACCCUGUGUGCACAACAAAAGAAUUAACAAAGACAAAGACAAAACUAAAGUAGGCUGCUAACAACUAAAGUAGUAAGGUUUAAACAAACAAUACAAAACCACUAAAGACAAUACAAUAAACCAACAAAGAAACCAAGCACUAGCAAACACUAGCAAACACUAGCAAACACUAGCAAACAGAGCUCAACCAAAGCUCUGCCACAGCUCAAACCAAAGCUCUUCCCCCUGACAAACAAACACAGGACUAUUUAAAGGGGAAUGGUUGAUGGGAGAUCUGGAACAGGUGUGGUGAUUUGGUGAUCGGGACCAGGUGCGCACAUCUGAGAACUUGGAGAAUGAAAACAGGAGGAGGAGACAGAACAACAACACAAACAUACUACACAAAACAGAACACAAUACAUGUAGGCCUAUACCAUGUAUAACAUAUAAGACAUACAGAACACUGU
ensembl:lncRNA